rnacentral:misc_RNA from 1 species
UCUACACCGCGCUCGUUCGCGGUCGGGGGGGCUUUCCCUUCGGGGGCGCCCUGUCUGAACCCUCUGUCAUUGUCGCACCUCGCGUUUCCUCGGCGGGCUCGCCCGCCAACGAGGACCCCAAACCAAACCCAUUGCAGUGUCUGCAGUAAACGUCUCACAAACAAUAAAUCA